UACCAGCACCCCGAGUGGUCGGGACGAUUAUUGGGCCUAAAGCAUCCGUAGCCGGUUCUGCAAGUCCCCCGUUAAAUCCAGCUGCUCAACAGAUGGGCCGCGGAGGAUACUACAGAGCUAGGAGGCAGGAGAGGCAAGCGGUACUCAGUGGGUAGGGGUAAAAUCCGUUGAUCCAUUGAAGACCACCAGUGGCGAAGGCGGCUUGCCAGAAUGCGCUCGACGGUGAGGGAUGAAAGCUGGGG
rnacentral:rRNA from 1 species